rnacentral:rRNA from 1 species
GAAGUCGGAAUCGCUAGUAAUCGCGAAUCAGAAUGUCGCGGUGAAUACGUUCCCGGGUCUUGUACACACCGCCCGUCACACCAUGGGAGUUGGAAGCGCCCGAAGUCUGUGACCUAACCGAAAGGGAGGAGCAGCCGAAGGUGAAGCCAGUGACUGGGGUGAAGUCGUAACAAGGUACC